ACCUGUUGCUUCCAUGGGCCUUGAGCCCAGCGUUCGCAUCGGCUUUACGGCUGGUGAGCGCCCAUGGAAGGAGAACACAAACCCCCCUUUUAUAUGGAUGAAGUCUGAACUUGUUUUAUAUAAACGUUAAAAACUUUCAACAACGGAUCUCUUGGUUCUCGCAUCGAUGAAGAACGCAGCGAAAUGCGAUAAGUAGUGUGAAUUGCAGAAUUCAGUGAAUCAUCGAAUCUUUGAACGCACAUUGCGCCUUCUGGUAUUCCGGGAGGCAUGCCUGUUCGAGCGUCAUCAAAAACCUCAAUCAGCAAUUAAUUGUCGAUUGGUCUUGCGUUGGAGGCGAAAGCUUCCUGUGCGAAAUUCAAUGGCGAUGAGCCACGCAGCCAAAGCGUAGUAACUUACUCUCGUAAUGGUGAAGUGCAAGCAUCCGCCGGAACCCCCCCAUACCCAAAGUUUUUGACCUCGGAUCAGGUAGGGAUACCCGCUGAACUUAAGCAUAUCA
rnacentral:rRNA from 1 species